GCCACCUUAGCUCAGCUGGCUAGAGCAUCGCUUUCGUAAAGCGGGGGUCCGGGGUUCGAAUCCCCGAGGUGGCUCCA
rnacentral:tRNA from 2 species